rnacentral:misc_RNA from 1 species
GAUGAAGAACGCAGCGAAAUGCGAUACUUGGUGUGAAUUGCAGAAUCCCGUGAACCAUCGAGUCUUUGAACGCAAGUUGCGCCCGAAGCCACUAGGCCGAGGGCACGCCUGCCUGGGCGUCACACGCCGUUGCCCCCCCAUCUACUCCUUCGGGAUUGCGGGGGGGCGGAUGAUGGCCUCCCGUGCGCCUAGCCGCGCGGUUGGCAUAAAUACCAAGUCCUCGGCGACGCACGCCACGACAAUCGGUGGUUACGAAACCUCGGUUGCCCGUCGUGUGCGUUCGUCGCGCAUCGAGGGCUCGAAAAAAUGCUCGGCUCCGGCUGGGCUUUCAACGCGACCCCAGGUCAGGCGGGGUUACCCGCUGAAUUUAAGCAUAUCAAUAAGCGGAGGA